CAAAUACUCCUCUAAAGGAAAUAUUCACAUGUAUAUUUUUACUGGUAAAAAAGCCCAUGGGGGCAUUUACAGCCAUAUACUAUACUAUUUUCAUAAAUUUGGCUUUUUGGGGAAGUUUUCUGAAAAAAAAAAUUAGUUUAAGAUAGUGACAGAAAAUUCAGGAAAGCAGAAAGAAGAUACCAAGAAGACAUAACCUGCAAGAAAACUGAUACAUUAUAAGAUCCUUUUACUAAGAUACAGUAGACCCUUAUAAUCAAAAAUAAAUAAAGGCAGAAAAAAGCUUGUGACCUCUAAUGACAUAAAUGUAUAUGACCUUAUGAGCAAGCAGAAUUGUGACCUCUAGUUUUAGCAUUAUACUUUGAAGCCCACAGUCAAACAGACUAAAUUCUCCAAGGUAAAUGGGCAAAGAAAAUUUUUCAAAGUGACAGGCGUGUCAUCUUUCAUUGCAUUUGUACAACUGGUCAUUUAACCUUCACCUGCUCCCAGGGUUUGUACUGUACUGUUGUACUUAUAAUCUAGCAACAGAAACAGAAGAACCACCACCCUGUUCUUACAAAGAUCUGAAGUCACAAGGCUAAGAAUAGAAAGUUCCCAAAACAUGCAAAACAUUUCCAGCUCAUGAAGAAAAAUUUAGUUUUAUGAGUGUUUAUACUAAUAACUCAG
rnacentral:lncRNA from 1 species